rnacentral:rRNA from 1 species
AACAAACGCUGGCGGCGUGCCUAAUACAUGCAAGUCGAACGAGGAAGUACCUUCGGGUAUUGUACUAGUGGCGUACGGGUGAGUAACGCGUGGAUAAUCUUCCUUAGAGUGGGGAAUAACUAGUCGAAAGAUUAGCUAAUACCGCAUAAGACCACAGGGGCUUCGGCUCAAGGGGUUAAAGGAGCAAUUCGCUCUAAGAUGAGUCUGCGCCCGAUUAGCUAGUUGGUGAGGUAACGGCUCACCAAGGCGACGAUCGGUAGCUGGUCUGAGAGGACGGCCAGCCACACUGGGACUGAGACACGGCCCAGACUCCUACGGGAGGCAGCAGUAGGGAAUAUUGCACAAUGGAGGAAACUCUGAUGCAGCGACGCCGCGUGAGUGAUGAAGGCCUUCGGGUUGUAAAGCUCUGUUCUCAGGGAAAAAGAAAGUGAUUGUACCUGAGGAGAAAGGACCGGCUAACUUCGUG